AAGUUUGGACAAUGGGGGCAACCCUGAUCCAGCCAUCCCGCGUGUUCGAUGAAGUACUUCGGUUUGUAAAGCACUUUUGGCAGGGAAGAAAAGGCACUGGCUAAAACCUGGAGCGCCUGACGGUCCCUCCAGAAUAAGCACCGGCUAACUACGUGCCAGCAGCAGCGGUAAUACGUAGGGUGCAAGCGUUAAUCGGAAUUACUGGGCGUAAAGCGUGCGCAGGCGGUUCGGCAAGAAGGAUGUGAAAUCCCAGGGCUUAACCUUGGAACUGCAUUCUUAACUGCCGGGCUAGAGUAUGUCAGAGGGGGGUAGAAUUCCGCGUGUAGCAGUGAAAUGCGUAGAGAUGCGGAGGAAUACCGAUGGCGAAGGCAGCCCCCUGGGAUAAUACUGACGCUCAUGCACGAAAGCGUGGGGAGCAAAC
rnacentral:rRNA from 1 species